rnacentral:rRNA from 1 species
UACGGAGGGUGCAAGCGUUGUCCGGAAUCACUGGGCGUAAAGGGCGCGUAGGCGGCUCAUGAAGGCUGUGGUGAAAGUCCGGGGCUCAACCCUGGAAUGCCGGUGGAAACUGUCGGGCUGGAGUCCGGAAGAGGCGAGUGGAAUUCCUGGUGUAGCGGUGAAAUGCGCAGAUAUCAGGAGGAACACCAAUGGCGAAGGCAGCUCGCUGGGACGGUGCUGACGCUGAGACGCGAAAGCGUGGGGAGCAAGCAGG